CUGGUGUCAGCCGCCGCUGUAAUACCAGCACCUCGAGUGGUCAGGACGUUUAUUGGGCCUAAAGCAUCCGUAGCCGGCUCUGCAAGUCUUCGGUUAAAUCCACCUGCUCAACAGAUGGGCCGCUGGAGAUACUACAGAGCUAGGGAGUGGGAGAGGCAGACGGUAUUCAGUGGGUAGGGGUAAAAUCCUCUGAUCCAUUGAGGACCACCAGUGGCGAAGGCGGUCUGCCAGAACACGUUCGACGGUGAGGGAUGAAAGCUGGGGGAGCAAACCGGAUUAGAUACCCGGGUAGUCCCAGCUGUAAACGAUGCAAACUCGGUGAUGCAUUGGCUUAUGGCCAAUGCAGUGCCGCAGGGAAGCCGUUAAGUUUGCCGCCUGGGAAGUACGGACGCAAGUCUGAAACUUAAAGGAAUUGGCGGGGGAGCACCACAAGGGGUGAAGCCUGCGGUUCAAUUGGAGUCAACGCCAGGAAUCUUACCCGGGGAGACAGCAGAGUGAAGGUCAAGCUGAAGACUUUACCAGACAAGCU
rnacentral:rRNA from 2 species